UGGCGGUAUGCUUAACACAUGCAAGUCGAACGGUCUUUUCGGAGAUAGUGGCGGACGGGUGAGUAACGCGUAAGAAUCUACCUUCAGGUUGGGGACAACCACUGGAAACGGUGGCUAAUACCGAAUGUGCCGAGAGGUGAAAGGCUUGCUGCCUGAAGAAGAGCUUGCGUCUGAUUAGCUAGUUGGUGGGGUAAGAGCCUACCAAGGCGACGAUCAGUAGCUGGUCUGAGAGGAUGAUCAGCCACACUGGGACUGAGACACGGCCCAGACUCCUACGGGAGGCAGCAGUGGGGAAUUUUCCGCAAUGGGCGAAAGCCUGACGGAGCAAUACCGCGUGAGGGAGGAAGGCUCUUGGGUUGUAAACCUCUUUUCUCAGGGAAGAAGAAAGUGACGGUACCUGAGGAAUAAGCAUCGGCCAACUCCGUGCCAGCAGCCGCGGUGAUACGGAGGAUGCAAGCGUUAUCCGGAAUGAUUGGGCGUAAAGGGUCCGCAGGUGGCAUUGUAAGUCUGCUGUUAAAGAGUCACGCUCAACGUGAUAAAAGCAGUGGAAACUACAAAGCUAGAGUAUGGUCGGGGCAGAGGGAAUUCCUGGUGUAGCGGUGAAAUGCGUAGAUAUCAGGAAGAACAUCGGUGGCGAAGGCGCUCUGCUAGGCCAAAACUGACACUGAGGGACGAAAGCUAGGGGGAGCGAAUGGGAUUAGAUACCCCAGUAGUCCUAGCCGUAAACGAUGGAUACUAGGCGUAGCUCGUAUCGACCCGAGCUGUGCCGUAGCUAACGCGUUAA
rnacentral:rRNA from 1 species